rnacentral:rRNA from 1 species
UACGUAGGGCGCAAGCGUUGUCCGGAAUUAUUGGGCGUAAAGAGCUCGUAGGCGGCUUGUCACGUCGGGUGUGAAAGCCCGGGGCUUAACCCCGGGUCUGCAUUCGAUACGGGCUGGCUAGAGUGUGGUAGGGGAGAUCGAAUUCCUGGUGUAGCGGUGAAAUGCGCAGAUAUCAGGAGGAACACCGGUGGCGAAGGCGGAUCUCUGGGCCAUUACUGACGCUGAGGAGCGAAAGCGUGGGGAGCGAACAGG